UGAACGCUGGCGGCGUGCCUCAUACAUGCAAGUCGCGCGAACAGACGCGGAGCUUGCUCCUCUGACGUUAGCGGCGGACGGGUGAGUAACACGUGGAUAACCUACCUAUAAGACUGGGAUAACUUCGGGAAACCGGAGCUAAUACCGGAUAAUAUAUAGAACCGCAUGGUUCAAUAGUGAAAGACGGUUUUGCUGUCACUUAUAGAUGGAUCCGCGCCGCAUUAGCUAGUUGGUAAGGUAACGGCUUACCAAGGCAACGAUGCGUAGCCGACCUGAGAGGGUGAUCGGCCACACUGGAACUGAGACACGGUCCAGACUCCUACGGGAGGCAGCAGUAGGGAAUCUUCCGCAAUGGGCGAAAGCUUGACGGAGCAACGCCGCGUGAGUGAUGAAGGUCUUCGGAUCGUAAAACUCUGUUAUUAGGGAAGAACAAAUGUGUAAGUAACUAUGCACGUCUUGACGGUACCUAAUCUGAAAGCCACGGCUAACUACGUG
rnacentral:rRNA from 1 species